ensembl:snRNA U2 U2 spliceosomal RNA
AUCACUUCUCAGCCUUUUGGCUAAGAUCAAGUGUAGUAUCUGUUUUUAUCAGUUUAAUAUCUGAUAUGUCUGCUAUCUCAGGACACUAUAUUAAAUGAAUUUUUGGAGGUUGGAGUUGUAAUAGGAGCUUGCUCCAUCCACUCCACGCACCAACCUGAUCUUGCAGUACCACUAGGAAUGGUGGACCCCCU